rnacentral:rRNA from 1 species
CCUACGGGUGGCAGCAGUGGGGAAUCUUCCGCAAUGGGCGAAAGCCUGACGGAGCCACGCCGCGUGAUCGAAUGAAGGCCUUCGGGUUGUACAGAUCUGUUGACAGGGACGAAUAAGCAAUGCAAAUAGUUUUGUGUAUGACGGUACCUGCAAAGGAAGCACCGGCUAACUCCGUGCCAGCAGCCGCGGUAAUACGGAGGGUGCGGGCGUUAAUCGGAAUUACUGGGCGUAAAGCGCUCGUAGGCGGUAUGUCAAGUCAAGGGUGAAAUCCCCGCGCUCAACGUGGGAACUGCCGUUGAAACUGGCAAACUGGAGUGUGUGAGAGGAUAGUGGAAUGCCAGGUGUAGGAGUGAAAUCCGUAGAUAUCUGGAGGAACAUCAGUUGCGAAGGCGACUAUCUGGCACAUAACUGACGCUGAGGAGCGAAAGCGUGGGUAGCAAACAGGAUUAGAUACCCGAGUAGUC